rnacentral:rRNA from 1 species
UUGAACGGCCAUAGGGGCGUGGUCCUACCCGGUCCCAUUCCGAACCCGGCAGUCAAGAACGCCUCCGUUUCCGGUUGUACUGCACUCCGUGCGGGAACCCGGGAAAGCUGUUCACC